UCAUGGGCCCAGUUCUGUUCUUCAAUAGGACACGGAAUAAAAUUACUUGAACAGAAAAAUAGUGAUAAUUGAAAGUACAAGGAUCUGAAAUCCUUCAUUCUUGAAGGACAGCAUAAGCAGCCGUAUCUCCCCUCAUGACUUUUGGGGGUUUGGUCAAGCACUUUUGUCUUCUGCAAUCCCGCAAAGGCAAGCGCAGGAUCUCCUUUAUCUGCCGAACUUCUAGGACAACAUCAUUCUCACUGAUCAACUCUGUUUCACAGGGAUGUGCUCCAUGUUGAACCUGAAGGAGGAAGUUCAGCUAGCCAAGGAGUCUUCAUUAUUCACCUCUUUCCAGUGAGCAUCACAGUGUUCAGGAGGAAAKCUAAGACAGCAAAGGUUUUGUGGUUGGAGAGGAUAUUUUAUUGGCCUGAAGAGAUCCAUUAGAUGGGAGGUAUUAGGAAUGCAAGAAUAUGCUCUUAUGAAAACUGAACCGAUAAUCAAAAAUAUUUUCCUUCCAACAGGCAAGUAGGAAGUGAGAUGCCUCCUCAUCUGUAUGAUCACUUUAUAAUUUAAAAAACUUGUCACUGAAUUUCACWGUUUCCUCACCCUAAAUUCAUCUUCUGUUCUUGCUUUCCUUGUUAAACACUAACUGCUAAAAUUUGCUAUAAAUGUUGAACCUGGUUAGAGCCCAUAGUGUCAGAAGUGGCAAUUAUGUGAGAGUCGGCUGUCGAAGUGUCAAGC
rnacentral:lncRNA from 1 species